rnacentral:lncRNA from 1 species
AACGUUUUAUGGCCUUUGUCACUCCUCAAGUAGUCUCUCCAAAGGAGGAAUGUCUGACGUGGUAAGUAAGUUUGAGAGGAAACUGGAUUUUGUUGGAUCCACCCCUUCUGAAGUCUCUUGUUGUCUUCCUCCCUCAAGAGAUGUCUGCCCUAUUUUCCACUUGUUUGGAAACUAUCUCCCCUGUCUGGUGUCCUUGCAGCUGUGCAUCUGUCAGUCUGUGCUGGUCUCACAUCGAGGUCACGCUGAUGAAAAAGGAACUACAGUACUGUUAUGUCAGUAACAUACAUCACAGUCGUACGUCUCCAGGCUUCUUAUCUUCCUUUGAACCUGACCUGGCUACUGUUUGGUGGAUUAUAGAGGAAAAGCUGUAAUGGGAAAGUAGGUUGGGUGAAGGGAUGAGAAAAAGGAAAGCAUCGUGGAGCACAUUAGCAGGCUUUCUCCAUGAAGAAGCAGGAUGAGUACCUUCUCACUGCCAAAGUAGUUGGAGGGACAUCAAACACCAGUGAUGGGAACACUGAACCUCACAUAAGAAGCACAUGAAGAACAGCAGUGAAACCAAGGAUUCUAGCAAGGCCAGCUAUUAGCAAAGCAGUAAGCAGGAACUGGACUAGAUACCAAAUGAUGGGGAAACAGACUCAUAGACCUAAGAACAUAGGAAGAAGAGAUGUAACAUCAACAGAAAGGCAAAAGGGGCAAUGCAGCAUCUCUGCCUUCUUCUGGGUAUUCCUCUUAAAUGGCUUGACAAUAACCACCAACCAGCACUGCCAUACAUGUGUCCUGUACCUAUCAGAGGCACUAGGGCAGUUUUGGAACAGAGAGCCCAUAGAAAGGCUACUGCUUAGAGAUAGCCAUUUUCUUCUUGGAGCUGGACCAGUGAAUUAGACGCAUGGAGGAGAGCUGGAAAAUCCCUUUUUGGAAGAGCUACACAAAACCAAAAUUUGGAAUUCGUAGCUAAUAACCAUAAAAAUUAAGAAAUGACUGUUGGAAGAGCACUGGAAAUCACCUGAUUAAGUUAAGAAAAACUAACUAGCUCAUGAGAAAAUUAUUUUCAGGCCAGCUGUAGCCUGUACCCUUUUGAAAAUCCCCUGACUAGUGAGUUCAUUUUUGUUGGAAUAUAGAAUUUUUCUUUUCUAAGCAGAUGUAAACUUGUCUUUCUGUGGUUGGCUUUGGAGCCCACAAGAUAAUUAAAUGGCAGUGCUAACUGAAAGCCUGGGCUGUGCUUAUAGGUUCAAGAGGCAGGUAGAAGACACUGGGUUGGGGAAGUAGGGCUAUGGAACUGUGGCUCUGGCUAAGAUUACUAAUGUCUGUGAGCGCUGGAAGAAGGGAAAUAGAAAUGAAAAAACAUGAAUAUGGUUGAUGGGCCAGACUGAGUGUUGAGGUCCUAUGAUGUAUCAAAGAAUGGCUUACAUGAAAGUUAUAAGGUGUGGAUGGAAAAGGUCAGUGUGGAAGAGAACAGAAUUACUAGCUUUAAAGCUCAGAGACAUCUGCUUUUCAGGAAAAAAAAAUACAAAAGUCUAUGAGUGAAGGAAGGAGACUAAGAGAAAGAAAGGUGAGGAAAAGAGGAAGAGAAUAAAAAGGAACAGAAAUGAGAAAAAUAUGACACAAGAAAAAAAGAAAAAUUAGGAGGAAGGAAAGAAGAAAGGAAGGCAGAGAGGGAGGAAAGGAAGGAAGGAGACAGGGAGGAGAAACAGAAAAAGAGAGAAUGAAAGAAGUGGAAAUCAAGAAAGAAACAACAUAAGAUUCUACAGAGAGGACUCAUUAUAGGCAAAAUAAGUAAAAGAAAUUUCUUUUGGCAUUGUCCUAUCUCCCUUGCAUUCUCAUCUACUAAGCCUUUUCUUCCCUGUGGGCAAUAUUAUUGGCAUGAGUAAACUCUCACCUUAAUAUUCCUAAUAACCAUAAGUUUGUCCUCUACUCCCUAAAACUACUGCCGUGUGUGCCAUGCUCCAAAGUAAUCUCUUAUUCUCACUUCGUAACCUUUCAUCUCAGCUGUGUGUCAGUUAAGAAGAAUUUCAUCAAACUAAGCCUCUUGGAUUUUAAAAGAAUGCUCUUGCCCAGUUAUAUCUUUAGUUGGCAUCAUUUCAGGUAUGAAAAGGCUCUGCUCUAUGUGCCCUUAUCAAUCCUGAAAGAGCUAUCUCCCCAAGCAAAAUGAGAAGGACAAUCAUAACUGGCUCAAGGCUAGUCCAAUCUGGCUCUGUCCUUAGAUCCAAAAAGUUGAAGUUGUAAGUGACCCUAGAAAUGAUCUAUUUCACACUUAUUGUCCAGACAAUGAAACUCCAGUGGAGAGUGGAUAGGACCCUUCUAGGGUCGCAUGAUUGCUAGUGGCAAAGCCAGGUCUGAAUCAUAUCACUGCUUAUGGAGAACUUGUUGCCCUCACCAUUGUCCUCAAAUUUCUCCUGUUGACAGCAGGAUCCCUCAGAGAAAAGAUAGCUCCAGCCAAAGAACUCAGUGUAGCCCCAUGAACUCUCCAAAUAAUCAUAAACACAGCUAUAGUAGACAAGAAAGGCUAUCUUCUCAUGACCCUUUCUGUGGUUAAAAUCCUGAAAAACUGGGCACUACGGCUAUAUUCCAAACAUUCUUGCAAAUAGUAUUUCCAGACACAGACAAUGAUUCUCAGAGAUUCUCAC